rnacentral:rRNA from 1 species
CAACCUACCCUUAAGACCGGGGAUAACACCUUCGAAAGGGGUUGUUAGUACUGGAUAAGCUUCUUUGUAGGGCAUCCUAUGAGGAGGGAAGGUAGCGGGAGCUACCGCUUAAGGAUGGGCCCGCGUCCCAUCAGCUAGUUGGUAGGGUAACGGCCUACCAAGGCGACGACGGGUAGCCGGCCUGAGAGGGUGGUCGGCCACACUGGGACUGAGACACGGCCCAGACUCCUACGGGAGGCAGCAGUGGGGAAUCUUGCGCAAUGGGCGAAAGCCUGACGCAGCGACGCCGCGUGAGCGAGGAAGGCCUUCGGGUCGUAAAGCUCGAUAGUGUGGGAAGAAGGGAUGACGGUACCACACGAGAGCCCCGGCUAAC